CGUUUUGUUACAGCCAAGGAUCUGCAAGCCUCUGGACCAGAGAAGCGCAACUGGCCUUUGCUGGACCCUCCGACGCGACAGAGGUUAGGAAACAGAGCCACUGAAUGUAAGCAGCUGGUAAGGAAAUGCAUUUAUAUUUAAACCCAGGGCCAUCUGAUUAUUUCCUUAAGAUAAAUUCUUAGAAGUGGAAUCCUUGGGCACAUACAUUUUUAAGACUUGUUAAAAUGGACAAAUUGCCUUCCAAAAAGAUAUAUCAAUACCAAAAUCAGACGAUAGUUCAAGAAAACCACAGACUAGUAUCCCUCAUAAACAGCAGAUGCAAAGAUCUGCAACAAAUUAUUAGCAAACCAAAUCCAGCAAUACAUGAAAAGAUUAAUACAUAAUUGCCAAGGAGAAUUAAAAUCUAGAAUGCAAAGCUGUUUCAAUAUUUGAAAAUCAAUCCAUUUAAUAAACCAUAUGAACAAUCUAAAAAGUUGAACCACAUGAUCAUAUCAAUUGAUGCAAGAAACAUUUGACAAAAUUAAACAGCCAUUUAAUUUAAGAAGAAAACAGUUCUCACAAAACUUGGAAUAGAAGGGAACUUCUUCAACUUGAUAAAGGGCAUCUACAAAAUUCUACAGCUAACAACAUACUUUAUGUGAAAACCUGCUCUCUCCCUAAGAUCAGGAACAAGGCAAGAAUGUCUACUCUCACCAUUUCUAUUAAACUCAUACUUAAAGUCCUAGCCAUUGCAAUAAGGAAAGGAAAAUUUUUAAAAUAUACAGAGUGGGGAAAAAAAGAAAGAAAACUAUCCUUGCUCACAGAAGACAUCAUCAUCUACAUAGAAAAUCCCAAAGAAUCAAUAACAAAAAUAAACUACUAGAACUAA